CAAAAGCAAUGACAACACAUGGAAAAAUUAAGUAUAGUAAGUUCUCAUUUAACAUCUUGAAUAAGUUCUUGGAAACCAAGACCUUAAGCGAAAUGAUGGAUGAUGGGUCAUAGAAUAAUGUCAUUUAGUUUAAUUAUAUUUCUUUAUUAUGUUAAUGAGAAAAAAUGGUUUUGUUAUGCAUUGUUUUACUUAUGGUUGUAGUUUCCAAAAAUGUAUCGAUGAUGUGAAGUGAGGAUUACAGUAUAUAUAAAGAAAUGAAGAUCUCUGGAAAUGGCUAAAAUAAAGCUUUUAUAAGGCUAUUACAUUCAUCACCUCACUGAAUCUUGUGUUAGAAGAGUUGUGAUCUCUACUUUGCACCAGAGGCUCAGAGUCAUCACACGAUCUGUGCUGGUGACACCAGGACUAGAACCCAGACUCCUUCAGACCCACUCCACUCUACUAUCUCUCCUCUUCUUGUGUCAGAUCCAAUAAGACAGCUGCCAUUUUCCAUUAGAAGACAUUUAUGUUGCAUCUAAAAGAAGGAAUUUACAAACCAGAGAAGAGGUGAAAACAAGAAGGGUGAUGUGGAAGAGCCAAGGAAGGGCGGAGGUCUCAAGUGUGGAAGGAGUACAGGAAAUGAUCAAGAUGCUGCACUACUUAUCGUCUUGUUAUCGUGGCUUACUGUAUAAUUACAUUGGAACCUUUUGAUACCUAUUCAGGUGGGUAUUUGCCUCUUGUUGCCUUGAAAUUUCUUUUCUGCAUUAGGUAAAUGAGUGCAUAAAGUGCUUUUUAAAACAUUGCCGUUAUCAUGGAAAGAAGGGUUUCAAAUUAGUAUUGUUUAUGUACAUUGACUUUAUUUUGGGUCAUGUAGUGGGGAGAUAGCUCUCAGAGUUCCAGGGUACCCUAAAAACAUUUUGUUAUUUU
rnacentral:lncRNA from 13 species